AUUGAACGCUGGCGGCAGGCCUAACACAUGCAAGUCGAACGAGUGGCGGACGGGUGAGUAAUGUCUGGGAAACUGCCCGAUGGAGGGGGAUAACUACUGGAAACGGUAGCUAAUACCGCAUACCAUCGGAUGUGCCCAGAGGGGAUUAGCUAGUGGGUGGGGUAAAGGCAUACGAAGGCGACGUUCCGGAACUGGUCUGAGAGGAUGAUCAGUCACACUGGAACUGAGACACGGUCCAGACUCCUACGGGAGGCAGCAGUGGGGAAUAUUGGACAAUGGGCGAAAGCCUGAUCCAGCCAUGCCGCGUGUGUGAAGAAGGUCUUCGGAUUGUAAAGCACUUUAAGUUGGGAGGCGUUACCAACAGAAUAAGCACCGGCUAACUUCGUGCCAGCCGCCGCGGUAAUAC
rnacentral:rRNA from 1 species